UGAGCAAUCUGCCCUUCUCUUUGGAAUAAGCGUUGGAAACGACGUCUAAUGCCGAAUACGACCUCCUUUCGCAUGAUCGGAGGUGGAAAGCUCCGGCGGAGAAGGAUGAGCUCGCGGCCUAUCAGCUAGUUGGUGUGGGUAAUGGCCCACCAAGGCGACGACGGGUAGCCGGCCUGAGAGGGUGACCGGCCACACUGGGACUGAGACACGGCCCAGACUUCUACGGGAGGNAG
rnacentral:rRNA from 1 species